rnacentral:rRNA from 1 species
AAAUUGAAGAGUUUGAUCAUGGCUCAGAUUGAACGCUGGCGGCAGGCCUAACACAUGCAAGUCGAACGGUAACAGGAAGCAGCUUGCUGCUUCGCUGAUGAGUGGCGGACGGGUGAGUAAUGUCUGGGAAACUGCCUGAUGGAGGGGGAUAACUACUGGAAACGGUAGCUAAUACCGCAUAACGUCGCAAGACCAAAGAGGGGGACCUUCGGGCCUCUUGCCAUCGGAUGUGCCCAGAUGGGAUUAGCUAGUAGGUGGGGUAACGGCUCACCUAGGCGACGAUCCCUAGCUGGUCUGAGAGGAUGACCAGCCACACUGGAACUGAGACACGGUCCAGACUCCUACGGGAGGCAGCAGUGGGGAAUAUUGCACAAUGGGCGCAAGCCUGAUGCAGCCAUGCCGCGUGUAUGAAGAAGGCCUUCGGGUUGUAAAGUACUUUCAGCGGGGAGGAAGGGAGUAAAGUUAAUACCUUUACUCAUUGACGUUACCCGCAGAAGAAGCACCGGCUAACUCCGUGCCAGCAGCCGCGGUAAUACGGAGGGUGCAAGCGUUAAUCGGAAUUACUGGGCGUAAAGCGCACGCAGG